rnacentral:rRNA from 1 species
UAAGGAAUAUUGGUCAAUGGACGCAAGUCUGAACCAGCCAUGCCACGUGAAGGAUGAAGGUCCUCUGGAUUGUAAACUUCUCUUAUCUGGGACGAAAACGGGAUUUUUAUCUCAAUUGACGGUACCAGAGGAAUAAGCACCGGCUAACUCCGUGCCAGCAGCCGUGGUAAUACGGAGGGUGCGAGCGUUAUCCGGAUUCACUGGGUUUAAAGGGUGCGUAGGUGGGCAGAUAAGUCAGUGGUGAAAUCUUCCGGCUUAACCGGAAAAUUGCCGUUGAUACUAUUUGUCUUGAAUAGUGUGGAGGUAAGCGGAAUAUGUCAUGUAGCGGUGAAAUGCUUAGAUAUGACAUAGAACACCAAUUGCGAAGGCAGCUUACUAUAUAAUUAUUGACACUGAGGCACGAAAGCGUGGGUAGCGAACA